AUGAGUAGUUGAGACCAUGUGGAUAAUUGCUAAUGAGCCCUUGCUGGCAUCUGUCCCUUACAUCAGUGUUUCUUAUGUUAUGUGCAUUCCAAGAUUUAGUUACAGCCGGUUAGGUCUCAACAAUAAGAUUAGGGGCUGGAGAGGUGGUUCAGUGGUUAAGAGUGCUUGCUGCUCUUGGGGAGGACCUGAGUUCACUCACAACCACCUGUAACUCCAGCUCCAGGAGAGCUGAUAUCUUCCUGUGGCCUUUGAGGACACACACACACCCCUAAAAAAGUCAGCUCCACAGAGCUGAAAGAGAUGGCAGUCUCAGGGUAGAAAACAUCACCAAAUUUCCAUUUAUACCACAUUUACUGACAGCCAAAGCCAGUUACAAGAUGACAUGCAGACCACCAUUUGGUAGACGAAGCUGCCACACUACAUUGUCACAGGGUAUUUAUAACACUUUUAAACUAUUAUAUAAGAACUGUGUAUUAUGUCUGUGCCCAGUAGGUAAUUGAGGAUGUUCAUUGCAAGAAUUCAGAAAUAAAAACCUACUCCAGUGAUGUCUGUGUCUACUGCCCUUGGCUCAUAAGCUUGACCCGGGCUUUUUUCUUACUCAUUGCUGGACUUCUGAGUUGGGCUAAAACUUGCGUGGUCUAGAAAGUUCAAUGCCCUUAUCUGUAACACAGACGGUGCCUUUUUACCUGAGCAUUGUGACUCACCUCAGCCCCCUCUAUCUUGAUGCUGGGGUGAGCAUCAUAAGUGUUCCCAGUCACUGCCAGGAAAAGGAAGUGACCUGUUUACCAAAGAUUGAGCCGGCGGAGACCUCCAAAAGCUGGCCCUUGCUGCCCCCUAGUGGCUGCUUUUUGCAUAGCUCCACCCAAGGCAUGAAAUCAGAUAAAUGACCAAAAACCAGGAGGGUGGAAUCUGAAAGCUUCCGUAGGAGAGCUCUCCACUGUGAGGAAGACUACAGGAUGAGCAAGGUCUAACCCAACGGCCAAGAACACACAGAAAACCAGAACUCAUAGCUCCUUCCCAGAAACUGGUUCACAGGUCCAGAGAAAGGCCACCUUCAUUCCAACCUUACCACGCCGAUGCUUUCGAAUGAAAAAAUGGCUGUUCCAAAGAAGAGAGGGGAGAAGAUGGUGAGGACACGGAGGUUCCGAAUGAAGACCAGAAGGCCCAGAACGGGCAGGAAGGCGAGCAUGUAGAGUCAUUAAGAUGUAGGACUCUCAGCUCCUUCUCCAGCACCAUGACUGCCUGCAUGUUGCCAUAUCCUGCUAUAAUGAUAAUGGACUAAGCCUCUGAACUGGUUUUCCUGUCUUUCCACCGUGGACAUUGUGACCCAACCCUGGGCCCAUUCCUACUACCCAAGCGAUGAGGAUGCCUGGCUGCCUUGUUACCAGCUGCAGGAUGGGAGGAUGUGCUCAUCCAUUCAGCUAUACUGACCGAGUCUCCCCAGCUUGGAGUGGGGGAAGGAGUCGUGUGGAUGUCUCUUCUUGCUUUCUUCAAUUUAGCUUUUCAUAUUUCUUAUGUUGGAAAUCAGGUGCCUGAUAUUGUAGCAUGAGUCUUAAAAGUUCUUAUUAAUAAAAUCAAACCUAAGCCAGGUAUUGGGGUGAACACUGGAAGAUCAGAGAGACAGAACAAGCCACAGCUAACCUCACCUGGCCAACUUCUCAGCUGGUCUUGUUUCCUCAGACUCUGAGUCCUCAUCCAAAUGGGUCUCAGCUGAACUGCUGCUAGAAGCCUGAAUGCCUAACCAGCCAAAUGCUUAACCAGGCCAAAUGCUUCUAGUUUCUGGUCCUCAUGCCUGAUAUACCUUUCUGCUUUCUACCACCACUCCCUGGGAUUAAAGGCUUGCUUUCUGGGAUUAAAGGCAUGAUGAGUCACCAUACCUGGCUGUAUCCUUGAACACAUGGAUUUCUGCCUCUGGAAUGCUAGGAUUAAAGGUGUGUGCUACCACUGCUUAUCCUUUAUGUUUAAUAUUGUGGCUGUUCUGUCUCUGACCCCAGAUAAGUUUAUUAGCAUGCACAAUAUUUGGGGGAAUACAAUACCACAUGAUAUCCCUCAGGUAGGUCUGGUGGGGGUAGUUUUGGAGCAGGGUUAGGGUUCUGUGGGGAAAGAUGGAGGAGGGGCUUGUGCUGUGCUCAUCUUGCUCUGCUUCUCCUCCAUGGAUGCUUUUGCAUUGAUGUAUGUUGUCUACUUUCAUGGAGAGACGCCGAGGGUACUGUGCUGUUAGGUCAGGUUUCCGGUGUGCUCAAACCCAGGUCCAACAGUUCAUCCCAAAGAAAAGCCAGUGCCCCAGUGUCCAAGGGGCAAGCAUCGGGGUCAAAAAGGACUUUAUUCAAUAGCCAAAGAAAGGAGAAGCGGGGGCCUUGCUCGUGAGUUAACUUCUAAGCCAGCAGACUGGGGAGUUACAGACAGGGGAGAAGAGGAGCAGGCCAGGCUAAUAAAGGGGAGGGACAUGUGUGUUCCUUCUGGGAAGAGGUGGAGACCUUCUAGGAGGUGGACGCUACCUCUCCUUGCUUCUCUCCUGGUGUUUACAGUCACGGUGGCCCAUAAGUGAUUUGAGCCUUGGAGGGAGGGAGGUAAGAUGUUAGACAAGUCUAGGUGGAGUUAACCCUGCCUUGUACUUCGGGACAAAAUAUUUCUCAAAUGGCCAUCAUGUCUACAGACAGGGCUGAGAAGGGUCUGACGUGAAGUUUAAGGUUGAUGAGACAGAUACAAUAUGAUAUAUGUGUUUUUCUUUUUGUUGUUGUUGUUGUUCUGUUUCCUCAUUGGGCUUCUGCAGGCCGAAACAUAAAUUGUUAUUUAGGCAAAAAUGGCCUUUGAGACUCCAAAGGGCAAGCUUGAUAAUCGUUAUUGCCAUAAGUUACAUGGUAGGGUUAGUGAGAUGGCUCAGUGAAUAAAGAAAGGUGCUUGUUGCCAAGGCCAGAGACCUCUGAUUUGUAAGACGGCUCGUCAGAUAAAGGGGCUCACUAUGCCAGUCCGACAACCUGAGUUUGCUCUCCAGAGCCCACAGGAAGGUGGUAAGGAAGAGAAUCAAUUCUGUAAAGUUGUCCUCUGACCUCCACACGUGCUCUGCAGCACACGCGCGGGCACACACACACACACACACACACACACACACACACACACACAAACUUAAAAAAAGAAAAAAACAUACACACGAACAAUCACCAGCUCAAUACAAAUGCACACCAGGGUAUCAGUUGUGCAAAUACAUAUGUUCGUUGGAGAAGCAGGGGACUUAGUGGAAAGCUAGGCUGAAAUUUCACAUUGACCUUGACACUUUUGACUUUUGAAGCCACGUAGAGUUUUUUGUUACACAACCAAAAACUUUAAAGGGUGGAUGGAUUAAGACUACAGGAAGGCCCAACAAAAUACUGUAAGAAAAAGAGAGGGUCUAGAAGGACUUCUGUCAUCAGGCCUCCCCAGGGAGCCGCUGAUGUUUGCAGGAGGUAUGUUUUGAUCACCCCUGCUUGCCUCCUCUGCCACACCCUCCUCCUCUCCCAGGUCCCCUCUUCUUUCACCCUUUCCUUUUUGAGACUGGGUCUCUCCUAGCCCAGGCUACCUUGAACUCCCCUGCAGUGGAGGAUGACUUAAGUUUCUGGUCCUCCUGCCUCUGCCUCCCUGGUGGAAGAUUUUUCGGGAGCUGAGAACAUAACCCAGGGCUCGGUGUGUGCUAGGGGAACACUACCCACUGAGCUCCACCCCCAGCCUUCUUCCUGCUCAGUGCUGUGUCUGGCACACACUGGGUGCCUUUAAUGCGCUCUAUUAUUCUCCUGAAUUGACUCUUUCAAGAACUGGUUGUGGUUUUGAAAUUUGCAAAGGGAAUGUCAAACACUGAAGCCCAGAUUUGAGUCCCACCCUCCCACCCACUCACAGAGACGAAGAUGGAAACAGUUCAGAAAAUCCUCCCACGUCUAAGUUCGAGGCUGAGAAGCAUGUUCUUGGCCACAGAGCUCCAUGAAGUAAGUAAGGGAUAGGCAGCUGGAGGCAUUUCCUCCUCAGCUUUAAGCAUAGACUGAAUGUUCCCUUUUACUUUUUCGUGUCCUUGUUCAAAGGUGUGGACCGAUAAGGGGGUGGGGAGAGGCGCUGUUUGGGAUCUAAGGAAAACGGCAGACAGUGUGUGCUUAUGGGUGUGGGGCUACUUCGGUCUCCAGUGUCUCCAGGUGUGCAGCUCACCCAGAAUCCCAUGCACAUCCACCCUAGGAGCAAGACAGGUAGGGAGUAUAGUGUUCCUGAUACAGAUGAGGACUAUGAAGCCAGAGAGAGGUGUGACGGCAUGCCCGAGGGAGGUGGGAACAUCUGGGAAACGGGUGUGCUGGUCCCUCUGACUCAGGGUGCUACCCAGGUGACAGAUACUAUGGCACUGCACUUAUGACACCUUCAGCCAGAGUGCCAACAUUCCCCUCAAGAAGCUAGCUCAUUGGGCUGAAGGCCCAACAAACCAGGGCCAGGCCAGCCUCCUGCUAAGAAGUCUUUGAGACUAGAAGAGCAGAGGUAGUGGGACACACACACACACACACACACACACACACACACACACAGAGGCACGCACACAUAUAUAUGUACACACAAACAAAUAAAUGUAAAAAAAUAAAAGAAAAGACAACUACAAUUGUGCAAGCCUCCUUGCAGGGGUUGCACUUCAUGUUCAGCCCAGCAGGGGGAGCACCAUGAUAGUUAAGGCUGAAGGUGACUCACGCGCCUUGGGUGGAGAGACUAUCUUAGCCUCCUGAAUAUAUAGCAUCUCUGUAUCAACGCAUGGAAAAGCAGCAGAGGUUGCCCUGGCCCAAGACUGAAGAAAACCCUACAGUCCUCGUUUGUGCUGCUGGUUGUUUAGAAAACUCACUAUGCUCAUCUUUCUUCCUGGAUGCCUGCACAAGUUCCUGAGAGGAGACAUGGAGCACGACUCUGGCUCACACUCUGCUGCCGAUGGAGGACCCAAAUGAAGCUGUUAAAAAGGAACACGAGGGGCUGACACAGCAGAGCACUUAGCACACACACAUGAGGCCCUGGGUUCAGUCCCCAGCCCGGCCUUAGAAGGAGAGAGAGGAGGCUGUGUGAGGACCCAACAGGGCGAGCAUGUGGCCCGCCCAGCCAGACAGUGGGACUGUAAGCCCUGGUUUUGGAACCGAACAACUUUGUUGUAGUAGACAGUGAACUGCUUGGAGAUAUUAUGUGUGGACUGGGUGGCUUCCUGGGGACACAGUUCUGACCAUGUGUGUUGGAUCCCACAUUCCCUCUAUCAGUACUCAAUAGUUUCUGUGUGUAUGCAUUUUAAUAUACAUUGAUAUUACAUAUGUUCAUCUAUAUUAAUAUAUAUUCUCACAUGUA